GACGAACGCUGGCGGCGUGCUUAACACAUGCAAGUCGAACGGACAGACAGAGAGCUUGCUCUCUUGAAGUUAGUGGCGAACGGGUGAGUAACGCGUAAUCAACCUGCCCUUCAGAGGGGGAUAACAACGGGAAACCCUUGCUAAUACCGCGUACGAUUCAUGAACGGCAUCGUUUAUGAAUGAAAGGUGGCCUCUAUGUAUAAGCUAUCGCUGAAGGAGGGGAUUGCGUCUGAUUAGCUAGUUGGAGGGGUAACCGCCCACCAAGGCAAAGAUAAGUAGCCCGUCUGAGAGGAUGAACUGCCACAUUGGGACUGAGACACGGCCCAGACUCCUACGGGAGGCAGCAGUGGGGAAUCGUCCGCAAUGGACGAAAGUCUGACGGAGCAACGCCGCGUGAGUGAUGAAGGUCUUCGGAUUGUAAAGCUCUGUUAAUCGGGACGAAAGAGUUCUGCGUGAAUAAUGCAGAAAAGUGACGGUACCGGAAUAGAAAGCCACGGCUAACUACGUGCCAGCCGCCGCGGUAA
rnacentral:rRNA from 1 species